GAGGCUUUGAGAAAGGAGUAGGAGCCGAGCAUUCCGGCAGAGGAAGAAAAACGGCCCAUCUUUUAGAGUCCGACCUCUGGAAAUGUCCACACCUCUGCAUCCCUGCACCAGGACUCACCAAGACGCCCAUCCUGGAAAAGGUCCCCUGUAAGAUGGCAGCAAAAACUCCCAGCAGUGAGGAGUCUGGGCUGCCCAAACUGCCCGUGCCCCCGCUGCAGCAGACCCUGGCCACGUACCUGCAGUGCAUGCGACACUU
rnacentral:sRNA from 1 species